rnacentral:rRNA from 1 species
GGGGGAUAACCUACUCGAAAGAGUAGCUAAUACCGCAUGAGAUCUACGGAUGAAAGCAGGGGACCUUCGGGGCCUUGUGUUUUUGGGAGAAGUUGAUCCUGGCUCAGAUUGAACGCUGGCGGCAUGCUUUACACAUGCAAGUCGAACGGUAACAGGUCUUCGGAUGCUGACGAGUGGCGAACGGGUGAGUAAUACAUCGGAACGUGCCUAGUAGUGGGGGAUAACUACUCGAAAGAGUAGCUAAUACCGCAUGAGAUCUACGGAUGAAAGCAGGGGACCUUCGGGCCUUGUGCUACUAGAGCGGCUGAUGGCAGAUUAGGUAGUUGGUGGGGUAAAGGCUUACCAAGCCUGCGAUCUGUAGCUGGUCUGAGAGGACGACCAGCCACACUGGGACUGAGACACGGCCCAGACUCCUACGGGAGGCAGCAGUGGGGAAUUUUGGACAAUGGGCGAAAGCCUGAUCCAGCAAUGCCGCGUGCAGGAUGAAGGCCCUCGGGUUGUAAACUGCUUUUGUACGGAACGAAAAGCCUGGGGCUAAUAUCCCCGGGUCAUGACGGUACCGUAAGAAUAAGC